AUUGAACGCUGGCGGUAUGCUUAACACAUGCAAGUCGAACGGUAGCAGGCCUUCGGGCGCUGACGAGUGGCGGACGGGUGAGUAAUGCAUAGGAAUCUGCCUAUUAGUGGGGGACAACGUGGGGAAACUCACGCUAAUACCGCAUACGUCCUACGGGAGAAAGCAGGGGACCUUCGGGCCUUGCGCUAUCAGAUGAGCCUAGGUCGGAUUAGCUAGUUGGUGAGGUAAUGGCUCACCAAGGCGACGAUCCGUAACUGGUCUGAGAGGAUGAUCAGUCACACUGGAACUGAGACACGGUCCAGACUCCUACGGGAGGCUG
rnacentral:rRNA from 1 species